AUGAGUUCUCACAGCGAGGUCACUGAAGAAGCAGUCAUCGUCGAUUUCUUUUCUUUCCCCUGGCCUUGGCCCUCUUCUGCCUCGCCUCCUCUUUCUGUCUCUCAGCCUCCUCCCUCUCAAACUUCUCGCUCUCCCUCUUCUGCAAGAAGUCCUGCACCGCCAGAUAGAUCACCUGCAUUUCCAGCAAAAGCAAGAACCAGAAAAGACCUUCGAAAUCAGCUCCGAAAUCCAAAAAUAAUACUGUCCAUCAACGCAAUUCGCUACUAUUCAAGGAGGAGCGAAUUGAUUCGACAGACAACAAAGAACAAAGGCGUCACGCACCCCGAUUGUGAGGAGGGAGAGCCCGACGAACGAGACCGUGAGCAGCACCGACACCACGGUGGCGGUGACGCUGUCGUCGUCGGCAGCCACCCUCAUCAUGGCCUCGGUUUGCUCCACCUCUUCGAUGGCGGCGGCAGGCGGGCGCAGCCUCCUGGCGAGGCGCAAGCGCCCGGUGCCUCCCCCGGCAUUCCUACCACGGCGCGGAGCAGCGACGCACCUCGAGAAGAGCGCUGGCCUGGGUAUCGUGGGUGGCGCGAGAGGGAGGAGGGGGAGAGAGCACGCUGCCGCCAUUAUCCCGUCCCUCGCGCCAGCGGAAGGAAAGGGGAUGCAAAUGAACGGUCGGAACGAACGGGGAAAUGGAUGGGCCAAUCCGGCGCGCAAUGGGCCCGUACCGGGCAGCGUGGAUGGGCCGAGGCCUGCCGCGUCGCCGUGCGCGCGGGCCCGCGCCGGGCGGCCGAGAGAAUUCCAGAGAAAUCGAUCCCCAUCGAGACGAAGGAAACCGAUGAGGACGCCACCGCUGUGUCCGCGCGGCCGGACCUGUCUGCAUUCGCCAGUUUGUUUGUGACACGCACUCGAAGAAGAGAAAGCCAACGAACGAGCGCUCACCGCACCGCACUCGACUAACCGCGACACCGCGACCCGGUGGUGGUUCCGCCUCGCUUCGCCGGCGGCGUCGUGGGAUUGGGAUUCGGGAGCGGGAGAGGUCCGGGAUGGCCGGGGAUCGGAUGAGCUGGGCGAGGCUGCUCAAAUGGAGCCUCUCCUACAUGGACGGCGCGCGGCCUUCUCGCGACAUCAGUGAGGAGGAGCGGAGGUGGCUGGCGGAGGCGGUGGAGCGGCACAUGGCGGAGGACGUGGUGGGCCGCCUGAGGGAGAUCGCGCUGCUGAUGAGAACCCCGCUCUCCGUCCUGGAGGCGCAGGGCAUCACGCCCGAGGACAUCGAAGAUUUGCUCGCGGAGCUGCAAGUACAUGUCGAGUCUAUCGACAUAGCAAAUGGUAUGUCUGAUCAUUGUUAUAUGAGCACUGCUAUGCAGACGACGAAUUCACACACGACCCACACAUGACAUGUAACCUACACCAUUGGAUUGCCUCCUUUUUUAAUCUGUGUGGCUUCGAAAUGAUGUUGUGUGCAAAUCGUGCAUGAAAGAUUGCGUGCACAACAAUUUCAUUGUUAUAUUUUUGUAUUCCUUGCUACUCCUGGAUUACCAUGGUCCAACUAUGGUGUAUGGGUUGUGUUAGCAUGGUAGGCAUAAUCCAUAUCAUUUUGACGUCCUUUCGGGAUACUUAAGCAGUCCGCAGAUAUCUCAGUCAAGCAAUGUCCUUGCACAACAUUUUACUAUUCGAAACCAUUGAAGCCCCAAAUGUCGACUGAAUUUCUGGUUUCUGCAACUCAUCAUUAGAACUCCACUCCUAUGGGUUAGUAAUCGAUGAAAGCACUAAAGUUCUGCAGAUGUAUUGUUAUUAUUAUUAUUGCAUUUCUGUGACGUGGACUCGGAUUUAUUACCUUGAGUUAAACCUACAGUUCCAUCUGUAGGAAACAAAGGUAGCACUUGGAAGACAUACUUUACUGGUGUCAAACUGAAAACAUUCACGCUACUGGAUGAUUCAAAGGCAUAUGUAGUUUCUCUUGAGGUGGCUAACAAAUGGAUGGAGACAACUGUAGUGGUUUUUGCCAAUAAAACACUGCUCUUCAGAUCUGCAUUCUGUUGGUGGCUUGGUUCCAGUUAUUAGGUACCUCAGAAAUACUAAUGCACGCAUUCGAGCCAAAGUAGCUGAUGUGGUAACAACGGUUGUUCAAAACAAUCCGACUAGCCAGCAGCUGGUCAUGGAAGCUAGUGGUUUUGAGCCACUUGUAUCCAAUUUUACAUCAGAUCCUGAUCUCACUGCACGCAUAAAGGCUCUUGGUGCACUAUCCUCCUUGAUUCGGAACAACAAACCAGGAGUUGCUGCAUUUCGUCUAGCCAAUGGAUACGCAGGACUGAGAGACGCUUUAAAUUCAGAGAGCGCAAGGUUUCAGAGGAAAGCACUAAGCCUGACUCAUUAUCUACUCAGUGAAAGCCAUUCCGAUUGCUCGGUAUUUGCACAGCUUGGGUUUCCUCGUCUUAUGAUGCGUUUGGUAUCCAGUGAUGACUCUGGUGUUCGAGAAGCGGCAUUAGGAGGCCUGCUUGAGCUUGCAAAGGACACAACACUGGGAAAUAGGAGCUUACUAGCAGACCAGGACAGGCUACGACGGCUUCUCUGGGGGCGUAUACAGAGCAUAAGGAUGAUGGCUCCUGAAGAUCUUGAUGCUGCACGAGAGGAAAGGCAACUCGUUGACUCAUUGUGGAUUGCAUGUUACCAUGAGCCAUCCACACUCAACCGGGAAGGACUUGUCGUUCUGCCUGGAGAGGAAUCUUUUGAACAACCUCCUGAUGUGGCUGGUAGAUUCUUCGAGCCACUGCGCCGAGCUCCAUUGCAGAGGGCAGCUCCUAGUCCUGAUGAGAGAUCAGAUCCAGGAAAUGGAACUCUGGGAGGAAUUAUGCUGCUUCUAGGUCCAGCACCAGGUAACUCGGAGUAAUUUAUCAUCCUGAACUGGGCACCUACGCGUGAAGAGGAGAGACUAGGAGUUUGAUGUCCUUUAUGUAUAGCUAGAAAUAUCAGGGCUAGUUCUAUCAAGUGUGUAAUUCGAGUCAAUAAUCCGAGUCUGAAGUGGUAUGUUGUUGUUGAGUGUUGUGUAUAAUUUGCAGUCUGCAAUAAUGUCACCCUAUGCUCGAGUAUGUGUAUGUAAUUGUAAUGUGUUGUCUAAAUAUUGACAGUCGUAUGUUCUAUAUGAACCAUAAUUACCAAUAAAU
rnacentral:rRNA from 1 species